UCAUUGAGAUAAAGAAAAGUUUCUCUAACAGGCCGAAUUUCACUCAAAUAAUCCACACUGUCAUCACAUACAGCAGUCAUUUAUGAAAAAGUAAUUAUCUCAAAUAAAUAUAGUGGUCAGAAGUACAUGGGUCUUUCAUUACCCUGAAUUGAUCAAAUUCAGUCAGAAUACAGUAUUUCACAUACCCAUAUAAUAGUUACAGUUAUCUAAUAUAGAACAGAAUGUCUUACCCGAGUUAGUUUUAGUGAGAGGUGUGCAAAGAAAAUGUUCAUUAAUAGCCUAUAUUUUUUAGGGUGCUUGUUCAGUUUGGAAAUAGGAUAUAUAUAUAUUCUCAUCCAAAAGAUCAAUAUCCCAGCUCACAACUUCCAGUCCAGCAGAAAGUCACUUUGCUGGACACUGCUGUCAUGAUGAUGAGCUGUAAAUCUUCUUCAAACAGGCCAGGGACGUCCUGAGCAUGGAAGCAGACAAAAGCCCAUCAGUUCUGGAUCACAUGGAGCUCAAAAUCAUCUAUGGAGAGCUGCACCUCACAUACAGAGUACAGUAGCCUACUAGAGCAUCCUGCAUUCCCCCGCUACAUCCAAUCACCUCACUAAUUUGUAGUCUGGACGAGCCGGGUUUUUUUUUACCGAUUUCACAGAAAAUUACAUGGUAAAUGACGGGCACAAACUCCGAAUUUUUAGUGUCAAUAUGCAAUAUUUCCAUUCAGACGGAAGAUAAUGAACAUAUUGUGAGCCGAUUAAAGAUUGUUUUUAAUUGUGACGCAUUUCUUCGCAACGAGGCGUGUUUCAACUCUCCCAACCUACACAAGGACUGGCUUGUUUCAUGGAAAAUGAAACUAACAUAUCCAGCAGAGCUUUCUGAAACUGAGACUCGAAACUUACAGUGAAAUAGUUUUGUUAUUCCCACCGAACAAAAUUCUACCUUCCAUUUGACCACUGGACAAAGAUUAAGUGUGGAUAAUUCUGGUGAAUGUUUGAAAAAAUUAUCUCCUCCCUCUGCAUCACCGCAAUGGACUAUUCAUUCUCUUACCCCAGCUUUCAACCUGUCACAGAAAGCAUAAUGUUUGUGAUGCAUGAACUGAAGACAAAGAACAUUGAAGACAGAAACCUUCUGUCCAACUUGGACUUUGCUGAGAGAUUCUUUAGAAACCAUCCUAUAAAACUGUACUCAAAAUUAUUAGUCAAAGGAAAUUACUCUUGUGUACAAAUGGGUCAGAAUGACAACAUUGUUGUUACUGUAACUUCAGAAAACAAUCAAAACUAUGUCAAUAUCUGUAUCUGUGAUCAAUUUGAGCAAAAUAUUAAUAGUUCUUUAAUUGAGGCCAAGCACUUUUUCAACCACUCCUGCCAGGAUGAGAUUAAAUCCUGUUUUACACAGGCUCAAGAAGCUAUUGCUAAAGAGAAUCUGACAAGAUUACACAUCACAUGCAACAGGUUCUCAGUAACAUACACCACUCAGUGCAGAGGGCCAUGCGCAACUGUGGAAACUAAAUGUCAGUUAAAGCUGGAGAGCCUCACUGCUGAGGGUUUACUGAACAAAAAAGUCUGGCUGCAGAAAGAGAAGCCCACAUGUCAUGGUUUGAUAGCAUGUCUAGACCAUCUCAUAAAGCAAUACCUGACCAAAAGCUGUUCUUUAAAUUACUCCUAUAGGUUCAUCAUACAUGCAGACAAAGAAAUAAUCAGAAUCACUUCAGGUGAAGAAAAAGAAACAGAAUUUGUUUUGAUGCAUGAUCAUGAAGGGGUCUCCAUGUUUCCUUCAACAUUGCUAUAAAAGUAAUGACAGCCUCCACUGCAACAUAUUCUGUUGAAAUAUCUUCACAUGCAUUUUAAAGACCUGAUUAAAUUAAAUCAUUACAUCAUCUUAUACUUAAUCACAUGUAUUCAUUACUAAUUAUAAAUUAGUUGAAAAUAUUUGCUUUCAAAAAAAAUAAUCAUACAAUGGCAUUACCUUUGGAGUACAAUACAACACACAGUAUGUAGUUUUUUGUUUGUUUGUUUUUGUGGCAAGCAAAUGUUUUUAUAGAUUUACAUUUGCACGAUUUCCUACUUCUGUGUUCUGACACUGACAAAAAUUUAGUAGAUUCUGUCAUUCACUACUCAGAUUAUUAUUGACAUUCUUUACUAUCAUAAAAAUAGACUAUAUGUAAAUAAACAACUUUAUUAUUUGUAGUUCUUCACCCUGCAUGUAUUUUACCUAGGAUUUUAUUAGUUAAAGUGAUAUUAUGGUGUAUAUCAAUGUAAAAAAAAAUGUAAGCAUAAUAAAACUGUAAAAAAAAAAAAAA